GUUGUAUAGUCAAGUAAUUAAGUGCAUGUGGUGGAUGCCUUGGCAGUCAGAGGCGAUGAAAGACGUGAUAGCCUGCGAAAAGCUCCGGGGAGGCGGCAAAUAUCCUUUGAUCCGGAGAUGUCUGAAUGGGGGAACCCACCUACUUUAAGGUAGGUAUUGCAACAUGAAUACAUAGUGUUGCAAGGCGAACGAGGGGAAGUGAAACAUCUCAGUACCCUUAGGAAAAGAAAUCAAUUGAGAUUCCCUCAGUAGCGGCGAGCGAACGGGGAUCAGCCCAUUAAGUUAUGUGUGUUUUAGUGGAACGCUCUGGGAAGUGCGAACGUAGAGGGUGAUAUUCCCGUACACGAAAGGGCACACAUAAUGAUGACGAGUAGGGCGAGGCACGUGAAACCUUGUCUGAAUAUGGGGGGACCAUCCUCCAAGGCUAAAUACUCCUGACUGACCGAUAGUGAACCAGUACCGUGAGGGAAAGGCGAAAAGAACCCCUGUGAGGGGAGUGAAAUAGAUCCUGAAACCGCAUGCAUACAAGCAGUGGGAGCACCUUCGUGGUGUGACUGCGUACCUUUUGUAUAAUGGGUCAGCGACUUAUAUUCAGUAGCAAGGUUAACCGUAUAGGGGAGCCGUAGAGAAAUCGAGUCUUAAUAGGGCGUUUAGUUGCUGGGUAUAGACCCGAAACCAGGCGAUCUAUCCAUGAGCAGGUUGAAGGUUGGGUAACACUAACUGGAGGACCGAACCCACUGUCGUUGAAAAGCCAGGGGAUGACUUGUGGAUAGGGGUGAAAGGCUAAUCAAGCCUGGUGAUAGCUGGUUCUCCCCGAAAGCUAUUUAGGUAGCGCCUCGGACGAAUACCAUAGGGGGUAGAGCACUGUUUCGGCUAGGGGGUCAUCCCGACUUACCAAACCGAUGCAAACUCCGAAUACCUAUGAGUACUAUCCGGGAGACAGACUGCGGGUGCUAACGUCCGUAGUCAAGAGGAAAACAAUCCAGACCGCCAGCUAAGGCCCCAAAAUCAUAGUUAAGUGGGAAACGAUGUGGGAAGGCAUAGACAGCUAGGAGGUUGGCUUANNNGAAGCAGCCACCCUUUAAAGAAAGCGUAAUAGCUCACUAGUCGAGUCGGCCUGCGCGGAAGAUGUAACGGGGCUAAAACUAUGUGCCGAAGCUGCGGAUGUAUACUUUGUAUACGUGGUAGGGGAGCGUUCUGUAAGCCGAUGAAGGUGUGUUGAGAAGCNNNNNNNNNNNNNNNNNNNNNNNNNNNNNNAUGCUGGAGGUAUCAGAAGUGCGAAUGCUGACGUGAGUAACGACAAAACGGGUGAAAAACCCGUUCGCCGAAAGACCAAGGGUUCCAGUCCAACGUUAAUCGGGGCUGGGUGAGUCGACCCCUAAGGCGAGGCCGAAAGGCGUAGUCGAUGGGAAAAUGGUUAAUAUUCCAUUACUUCUGUGUAAUGCGAUGAGAGGACGGAGAAGGCUAAAUCAGCCUGGCGUUGGUUGUCCAGGUGAAAGGAUGUAGGCAUGUAUCUUAGGCAAAUCCGGGGUACUCUAUGCUGAGAUCUGAUAGCAAGCUGUACUUGUACAGCGAAGUGGUUGAUGCCAUGCUUCCAGGAAAAGUCUCUAAGCUUCAGUUACACAGGAAUCGUACCCGAAACCGACACAGGUGGUCAGGUCGAGUAGACCAAGGCGCUUGAGAGAACUCUGCUGAAGGAACUAGGCAAAAUGGUACCGUAACUUCGGGAGAAGGUACGCUGUUGUUGGUGAUGGAACUCGCUUCCUGAGCUGACGACAGCCGCAGAAACCAGGCCGCUGCAACUGUUUAUUAAAAACAUAGCACUCUGCAAACACGAAAGUGGACGUAUAGGGUGUGAUGCCUGCCCGGUGCUGGAAGGUUAAUUGAUGGGGUUAGCGUAAGCGAAGCUCUUGAUCGAAGCCCCAGUAAACGGCGGCCGUAACUAUAACGGUCCUAAGGUAGCGAAAUUCCUUGUCGGGUAAGUUCCGACCUGCACGAAUGGCAUAAUGAUGGCGGCGCUGUCUCCAGCAGAGGCUCAGUGAAAUCGAAAUCGCUGUGAAGAUGCAGUGUACCCGCGGCUAGACGGAAAGACCCCGUGAACCUUUACUGCAGCUUGACACUGAACUUUGACCUUACUUGUGUAGGAUAGGUGGGAGGCUUUGAAGCUGGAACGCUAGUUCCAGUGGAGCCGUCCUUGAAAUACCACCCUGGUAAUGUUGAGGUUCUAACUCUGUCCCGUGAUCCGGGACGAGGACCGUGUCUGGUGGGUAGUUUGACUGGGGCGGUCUCCUCCUAAAGAGUAACGGAGGAGUACGAAGGUGCGCUCAGCGUGGUCGGAAAUCACGCGUAGAGUAUAAAGGCAAAAGCGCGCUUAACUGCGAGACCCACAAGUCGAGCAGGUACGAAAGUAGGUCUUAGUGAUCCGGUGGUUCUGUAUGGAAGGGCCAUCGCUCAACGGAUAAAAGGUACUCUGGGGAUAACAGGCUGAUACCGCCCAAGAGUUCAUAUCGACGGCGGUGUUUGGCACCUCGAUGUCGGCUCAUCUCAUCCUGGGGCUGAAGCAGGUCCCAAGGGUAUGGCUGUUCGCCAUUUAAAGAGGUACGCGAGCUGGGUUUAGAACGUCGUGAGACAGUUCGGUCCCUAUCUACCGUGGGCGCUGGAAAUUUGAGAGGAUCUGCUCCUAGUACGAGAGGACCAGAGUGGACGAACCUCUGGUGUACCGGUUGUGACGCCAGUCGCAUCGCCGGGUAGCUAUGUUCGGAAGGGAUAACCGCUGAAAGCAUCUAAGCGGGAAGCCUACCUCAAGAUAAGAUUUCCCUAGGACUUUAUGUCCUCUAAAGAGCCGUUCGAGACUAGGACGUUGAUAGGUUGGAUGUGGAAGCAUAGUGAUAUGUGAAGCUGACCAAUACUAAUUGCUCGUGAGGCUUGACUAUACAACACCCAAGCAGUUG
rnacentral:rRNA from 1 species